CAGUCGCCGCGGGAAAACCAGCAGCCCAAGUGGUGGUCGCGUUUAUUGGGCCUAAAGCGCUCGUAGCCUGGCCGGUAAGUUCCCCGUGAAAUCGGGUCGCCCAACGAUUCGGCUUGCGGGGAAUACUGUCGGUCUUGGGGCCGGGAGACGCCGAGGGUACUCCGGGGGUAGCGGUGAAAUGCUGUAAUCCUCGGGGGACUACCAGUGGCGAAGGCGCUCGGCGAUAACGGGCCUGACGGUGAGGGGCGAAAGCUGGGGGCGCGAACGGGAUUAGAUACCCCCGUAGUCCCUGUCUCUUAUA
rnacentral:rRNA from 1 species